AGAUGGGUAUUAGCAGCAAGAAAAGGAAUUCUAUUCAAGACCUAUGCAGCCACCACAACAAUCUGCCCAAUUCAAUUCAAGUAGGUCUUUGGAUAAUGAUAUGUUUAAUAAGUCACUCACCUCUUUGAACCAGGAAGUAGAAAAUGGAAACAAAGAGAUGCAAAAUCAAGCCAAGAAGGCGGGAGAAUUGGAGAAGCAAAUGUUGGAAAUGUGCCCUAAAACCAAUCAUAUGAUGAUACUUUGCGGACAUUUCACAUGUUAAACUAAUCGAGUUUAAUAUCAAGGGCAAAGAUUAUUGUUUAAGCCGUCUCAUAUAAAUGUUAUAUGCUUAAACGAUAAGUCCAAGGAAUAUGUAAUUAGGAGAAUGUGAUUUAAACAAGUUAGAUUACUGAGACCAUUCUCUUUCAUAUACAUAUCCUAAACGUUCCUGAUCAUAGGAUUGCCAAUUGGGCAUUGACAGUCCUUUAAAAUCAGUACAUGUUAUGUCUUCUCUUAGUGAGAGUGACUAGUCUCGAGUUAUUGGUGUGAUUGACACCAAGACAAGCAUGUAGGUGCUCAAUAACAAAUGAGUCCACUGAACACGAUCAACGAGGAGUUCUCAUACUCAUGUCACAUGAGAACUCAUGGUUGGGAUAAUGCAAAGUAGUCCUUUGACCUGAGGCAUCAUAGUUGUCUUGUGGUUAAGUCCUUGAUCUUUGAUUAUGUCAAAGUCACUCCAUCAGGAGGGUGUCCACGACAUAGUUGGGGUUAAGCCACUUAGCCAUGGAGGCAAGUGAAUGCGCAACAAGGGAU
rnacentral:lncRNA from 1 species